rnacentral:lncRNA from 1 species
GUCUUUGCCAUGGACAAAAUGAUCAAAACCAGCUGCUCCGUGGAGUUCUUCAUUGAAAGGAAGAGAGAGGUGGAGUUGGCAGUGAAGCGGGAUCUGCAGACACACUUCAGCAUCAAGCUGACUUAUCACUCCUCUGGAAACGGUUAACAUGCCUGGUCCAGCCACCCGUCAUGUGGAUGUGAUGUGCCUCUCAGCAGUUCUGAAGAUGACAGAAUUCACUUGCAGAUCUAAAAGAGACAAACAGAAGCUGGAAAUUGUACAUAGAGUUGAUAGGAAAACCACCUGAUUACAAAUCACUUAUCGGAAAUGCUAUGUGGAGAAGAAUUAGAAGACAUGGUCACUGAGCAGGAAGAGACAUGACUCUGCCAAGGUAUUAUUGGAAAGGUUGGAGGUGAU